rnacentral:rRNA from 1 species
UGGGGAAUAUUGCACAAUGGGCGAAAGCCUGAUGCAGCGACGCCGCGUGAGGGAUGACGGCCUUCGGGUUGUAAACCUCUUUCAGCAGGGAAGAAGCGAAAGUGACGGUACCUGCAGAAGAAGCGCCGGCUAACUACGUGCCAGCAGCCGCGGUAAUACGUAGGGCGCAAGCGUUGUCCGGAAUUAUUGGGCGUAAGGAGCUCGUAGGCGGUUAGUCGCGUCUGCUGUGAAAACUCGAGGCUCAACCUCGGGCUUGCAGUGGGUACGGGCUGACUAGAGUGCGGUAGGGGUGACUGGAAUUCCUGGUGUAGCGGUGGAAUGCGCAGAUAUCAGGAGGAACACCGAUGGCGAAGGCAGGUCACUGGGCCGCAACUGACGCUGAGGAGCGAAAGCAUGGGGAGCGAACAGGAUUAGAUAGCCCUGGUAGUCCAUGCCGUAAACGUUGGGCACUAGGUGUGGGGUCCAUUCCACGGAUUCCGUGCCGCAGCAAACGCAUUAAGUGCCCCGCCUGGGGAGUACGGCCGCAAGGCUAAAACUUAAAUGAAUUGACGGGGUC